AGUGCAGGCUGGGUAGAGAGGAUUCGUCUUGGUGGGGCGGGCUCCGAGUUGAGGAAAGCAGCCCCAGCUGCAGGACAGGAAGACAUCACAGAGGACGAUGAAGGAAGCCAGCUUAAGAGCAAUGGGAAGCCACAAGUCAAGAGAAUGACAUGGUUAACUUGGACUCUGAUUCUGACUUUGGUGUGCAGAAUGGAUUGUAGAGGAGCAAGAGUGGAAGCAGAGGAAACAGCUGGAAGGCUUUUGCAGUUGUCCAGGUGAGAAGUGAUGGCAGCUUGGACCAGGUGGUGGUGGUGGAAAUGGAGAGAAGAACCCCACAGGUGCCCCCUGCUCUGCAAGCCCAUUUCCUCACUAGACCCUAUCACCAGAGUGUGCUCACGAAUUUGCAGUACAUGGAAGCUUGUCCACACUUCAGGGGUCUGCUGGAGUCUCCUCUUCCAGGAAGCCUUCUCCAGGCAAGGCCAGUCUCCGUGGUCUUUCAGAGGUUGUGCAUAUCUUCUGCACUGCCCAUUCUCCCACCUGAUGCUUCUCUAGGGCUUGGCUGCUCUGCGUCCUCUCCGGGAGAUGCUUGCAUUUCUCUUGUUGUCUUGCUUUCUCCCUUGGGAAAGUAAAUGCUUUGUUGGCAUUUGCUGAAUCGUAUCAACAGGGCUCCUUUUGGAAAUUACAUUUGUAAAUGAUUACUCAUGCCAAUUGCCUUCUCCCCCCUUAAAUUAAACACUGCUUGCUUAAA